GCUGCUUCUUAAUCACCACAAAAACAAGUACUUAGUUAGUAGUGAAAAACUAAAAACCAGUUUAAACAGGUAGAUAUACAACACUGUUUAGAUAACCGAGAUGGUUGGCGAAUUAAACAUAGUUUUAUUAAUAAUUGAAGAAGGAAAACGACAGAUCACCAAAGUAGGGACUAUGACAUUAAGAAGGGAAUCAAAACUUAGUGUUUGGUUAUUCAUGGGCUCUUAUUACUUCUUUGGGGGUUAAAAUGUGAAAGCCUAUUCAUAUCAAAUCAUGGAUAUGACUUAUGCAAUAAUGGACUUGUUGGAUAACAGUAAGUGGGUGAUAUGUUUUGGAAGUAGUUUCAGUUUUUUUCCUAUUGGAGAAAGAGAAGAGGU